AUUACUUGAGACUCCAAGUUUGGAGUUUUCCUUAGGAAGACCAGAUUGGCAAAGCAAAAGCUAGCUUUUCCACCUAUGAUGCAUCCUAUUUUACUUUUACUUUUUACUUUUUUUUUAUUUUAUUUGUUUAGCAAGAAAAUAUAUAUAGAUGAAACAUACAAGUAUUUUAAGGGCGUAGAAAGCUGUAAUGUUGUAAUGAUAAGAAGAAGGGAAAAAAAAGAGAGCUUAUGUUGUAUCAGUUCCAUCUGCACCAGUGAUAGAACAUAACCCUUUUUUCUUUCAUUGGUGCAGAUGGAACUGAUACAACA
rnacentral:misc_RNA from 1 species